rnacentral:rRNA from 1 species
AAUUCUGCCCACUGAUUAUUUUUUAUGGCCGCAGUAGCCUGACUGUGCUAAGGUAGCAUAAUCAUUUGGUUCUUAAUUGGGAUCUGGUAUGAAGGAAUAAAUAAGGUGAGACUGUCUUAAGUGCUAAUUUGAAUUUAAAUUUUUAGUAAAAAUGCUAGAAUUAUUUUGUGGGACGAUAAGACCCUAUAAAGCUUUAUUAUUUAAUUUUUAAAACUUUUUUCUAAUUUUAAAAUUUAAUUAAUUUGACUGGGGCGGUUUCUAUUUAACUUAGAUAAUUUUAAAAUUUUAUGGAUCCAAUUAUUAUUGAAAUAAGAUUAAGUUACUUUAGGGAUAACAGUAUAAUAUAUUUUUGGAGUUCUAAUCGAAGAAUAUGUUUGUUACCUCGAUGUUGAAUUAAUUAAAUUUUAAGGUGAAGGAGCUUUAAUAAUUAGUCUGUUCGACUAUUAAAUGGUUACAUGAUCUGAGUUCAAACC